UAUUAACGCUGGCGGCGUGCCUAAUACAUGCAAGUCGAGCGAACAGAUGAGGAGCUUGCUCCUCUGACGUUAGCGGCGGACGGGUGAGUAACACGUGGAUAACCUACCUAUAAGACUGGGAUAACUUCGGGAAACCGGAGCUAAUACCGGAUAAUAUAUUGAACCGCAUGGUUCAAUAGUGAAAGACGGUUUUGCUGUCACUUAUAGAUGGAUCCGCGCCGCAUUAGCUAGUUGGUAAGGUAACGGCUUACCAAGGCAACGAUGCGUAGCCGACCUGAGAGGGUGAUCGGCCACACUGGAACUGAGACACGGUCCAGACUCCUACGGGAGGCAGCAGUAGGGAAUCUUCCGCAAUGGGCGAAAGCCUGACGGAGCAACGCCGCGUGAGUGAUGAAGGUCUUCGGAUCGUAAAACUCUGUUAUUAGGGAAGAACAAAUGUGUAAGUAACUAUGCACGUCUUGACGGUACCUAAUCAGAAAGCCACGGCUAACUACGUG
rnacentral:rRNA from 1 species